AAUCCAUCUUGCCUAUAGGUGGAUAUCUAUGUCAGUUCCAUUUCCAUCUACUACGCAACUUGGCAUCUCUGGGGGAGAUGCUGGAACUUACAACAAGCUACCUCAAGUCCCUUGCAUGACAAGCCUUGUGGAUGAACGGAAGCGGGAAGAGAACAGACAGGAUGAAGGAUAGGGGUGACUUUACUGGUCUCUUUCACUUCUCUAGUGCCAAGUGUAGCCUUAAAUAUCUUUCUUCCACAUCAAGCUCAACAGAAGGAGGAAAGAUUUCGGCUCUCUUACUGAGCUCUCACCAAAACCCAUAGCAUCCAUGAGAUCGUCUCCGUCACCUUCAAACAUUAACACUUCCUGUUUCCGGUCAGGAAUAACAGCAUGGCCAAGAGGUGCAUAUAGAUAUGUUCCUAAUAAAUUGAAUAAAAAAAAUUUCAAGAAUGAGUUCUAAAUUUUACAAUAUUGUCUAAUGGGCUUCCUUCCCCUUUCAGAAGUGCUUAAAAGUAAGUUGAUUAUACUCACAGUGUAACCAAUAAAUAGCUGAUAAUUUUCAUUUUAAA